rnacentral:rRNA from 1 species
UACGAAGGUCCCAAGCGUUAUCCGGAUUUAUUGGGUUUAAAGGGUGCGUAGGUGGGCAGGUAAGUCAGUGGUGAAAUCCCCGGGCUUAACCCGGAAACUGCCAUUGAUACUAUCAGUCUUGAAUACCGUGGAGGUAAGCGGAAUAUGUCAUGUAGCGGUGAAAUGCUUAGAUAUGACAUAGAACACCAAUUGCGAAGGCAGCUUACUACCCGAAUAUUGACACUGAGGCACGAAAGCGUGGGGAUCAAACAGG